UAAAAACUGUCAAGAUGUAUUUGUCUAGUUGCUCGCGCGAUCAUAUCUUUUCUCUUUUCCAAGCACUCACCGUGAGGUCAGUAAAUGCGUUGGCAACAGGAAACGGAAGUGAGAAGCAAAGCAAAAAAAAAGUGAGGAGUGAUGAAGUAUUAAUCCAAAUUAAUAAGCGCCUAAUGUUGUCGAUAUG
ensembl:ncRNA C25F6.27 ncRNA